GGCCUGGUGGCCUAAUGGUAAGGCGUUGCUUUCCGGUAGACGUGGUAAACACGUUGAGCUUGGCAAAGAUUGCGGGUUCGAGUCCCGUCUGGGUCG
rnacentral:tRNA from 2 species